rnacentral:rRNA from 1 species
UACGUAGGGGGCUAGCGUUGUCCGGAAUCAUUGGGCGUAAAGCGCGCGUAGGCGGCCAGAUAAGUCCGGUGUGAAAGUCACAGGCUCAACCUGUGAAUGCCGCUGGAAACUGUCUGGCUUGAGUCCGGAAGGGGCGAGUGGAAUUCCUGGUGUAGCGGUGAAAUGCGUAGAGAUCCGGAGGAACACCGAAGGCGAAGGCAGUGUCCUGGCUGGUGACUGACGCUGAGGUGCGAAAGCUAGGGGAGCGAACGGG